UGCGAGUCGAACGAUGAUCUCCAGCUUGCUGGGGGGAUUAGUGGCGAACGGGUGAGUAACACGUGAGUAACCUGCCCUUAACUCUGGGAUAAGCCUGGGAAACUGGGUCUAAUACCGGAUAUGACUCCUCAUCGCAUGGUGGGGGGUGGAAAGCUUUAUUGUGGUUUUGGAUGGACUCGCGGCCUAUCAGCUUGUUGGUGAGGUAAUGGCUCACCAAGGCGACGACGGGUAGCCGGCCUGAGAGGGUGACCGGCCACACUGGGACUGAGACACGGCCCAGACUCCUACGGGAGGCAGCAGUGGGGAAUAUUGCACAAUGGGCGCAAGCCUGAUGCAGCGACGCCGCGUGAGGGAUGACGGCCUUCGGGUUGUAAACCUCUUUCAGUAGGGAAGAAGCGAAAGUGACGGUACCUGCAGAAGAAGCGCCGGCUAACUACGUGCCAGCAGCCGCGGUAAUACGUAGGGCGCAAGCGUUAUCCGGAAUUAUUGGGCGUAAAGAGCUCGUAGGCGGUUUGUCGCGUCUGCCGUGAAAGUCCGGGGCUCAACUCCGGAUCUGCGGUGGGUACGGGCAGACUAGAGUGAUGUAGGGGAGACUGGAAUUCCUGGUGUAGCGGUGAAAUGCGCAGAUAUCAGGAGGAACACCGAUGGCGAAGGCAGGUCUCUGGGCAUUAACUGACGCUGAGGAGCGAAAGCAUGGGGAGCGAACAGGAUUAGAUACCCUGGUAGUCCAUGCCGUAAACGUUGGGCACUAGGUGUGGGGGACAUUCCACGUUUUCCGCGCCGUAGCUAACGCAUUAAGUGCCCCGCCUGGGGAGUACGGCCGCAAGGCUAAAACUCAAAGGAAUUGACGGGGGCCCGCACAAGCGGCGGAGCAUGCGGAUUAAUUCGAUGCAACGCGAAGAACCUUACCAAGGCUUGACAUGGACUGGAAACAUCUGGAAACAGGUGCCCCGCUUGCUGCCGGUUCACAGGUGGUGCAUGGUUGUCGUCAGCUCGUGUCAUGAGAUGUUGGGUUAAGUCCC
rnacentral:rRNA from 1 species